rnacentral:piRNA from 1 species
UGAGACAUGUCUCUAAAUUGCCUGGUGGU